ACAAAGUUAACUGCAAUUUGUGGCAUCGAAACAGCGCCCCUAGUGGCAAACAUUGGUAACUAAUUCGAUGUCAAUUG